GGAAGCAAGCCAUGUGAUCAAAUUACAUCAGAUGCAUACAUGCAAAGAAUCCAAAUCAUCAAUCAAACUACGAAUUUCGAAUUGAGUUCACAAAAUUUGGAUUAGUCAAAA